AUGGCCUCCACCAACAGCUGGACCCACGAGAUCAAGUCGCCGGUCGCUGCACCGCGCCUCUUCCAUGCCGGCGUCAUGGACUGGCACACCCUGGCCCCCAAGCUCGUGCCGCAGAUCGUUGCCAGCGCCCACCCUGUUGAGGGAGAAGGCGGCAUCGGCAGUGUCAGGCAGUUCAACUUCACCUCAGCCAUGCCCUUCAACCUCAUGAAGGAGAGGCUCGAGUUCAUUGAUGCGGACAAGUGUGAGUGCAAAUCGACCCUCAUCGAGGGUGGUGGCAUCGGCACGGCGAUCGAGACGGCCACGUCGCACAUCAAGGUGGAGCCGGCAGCCAAUGGCGGGAGCGUGGUGAAGGUGGAAUCAACAUACAAGCUGCUACCAGGCAUAGAGGUGAAUGAUGAGAUUACCAAGGCCAAGGAUUCUGUCACGGCCAUCUUCAAGGCCGCCGAGGCCUACCUCAUCGCCAACCCAGACGCCUACAACUAA
rnacentral:rRNA from 1 species